UACGUAGGCAGCGAGCGUUGUUCGGAGUUACUGGGCGUAAAGAGUGCGUAGGCGGCGCUCUAAGUUUGGUGUGAAAUCUCCCGGCUCAACUGGGAGGGUGCGCCGAAAACUGGAGUGCUCGAGUAUGGGAGAGGUAAGCGGAAUUCCUGGUGUAGCGGUGAAAUGCGUAGAUAUCAGGAGGAACACCUGCGGUGUAGACGGCUUACUGGACCAUGACUGACGCUGAGGCACGAAAGCGUGGGGAGCAAACAGG
rnacentral:rRNA from 1 species